GAUGAACGCUAUCUACAGGCUUAACACAUGCAAGUCGAGGGGCAGCAUGGUCUUAGCUUGCUAAGGCCGAUGGCGACCGGCGCACGGGUGAGUAACACGUAUCCAACCUGCCGUCUACUCUUGGACAGCCUUCUGAAAGGAAGAUUAAUACAAGAUGGCAUCAUGAGUCCACAUGUUCACAUGAUUAAAGGUAUUCCGGUAGACGAUGGGGAUGCGUUCCAUUAGAUAGUAGGCGGGGUAACGGCCCACCUAGUCUUCGAUGGAUAGGGGUUCUGAGAGGAAGGUCCCCCACAUUGGAACUGAGACACGGUCCAAACUCCUACGGGAGGCAGCAGUGAGGAAUAUUGGUCAAUGGGCGAGAGCCUGAACCAGCCAAGUAGCGUGAAGGAUGACUGCCCUAUGGGUUGUAAACUUCUUUUAUAAAGGAAUAAAGUCGGGUAUGCAUACCCGUUUGCAUGUACUUUAUGAAUAAGGAUCGGCUAACUCCGUGCCAGCAGCCGCGGUAAUACGGAGGAUCCGAGCGUUAUCCGGAUUUAUUGGGUUUAAAGGGAGCGUAGAUGGAUGUUUAAGUCAGUUGUGAAAGUUUGCGGCUCAACCGUAAAAUUGCAGUUGAUACUGGAUAUCUUGAGUGCAGUUGAGGCAGGCGGAAUUCGUGGUGUAGCGGUGAAAUGCUUAGAUAUCACGAAGAACUCCGAUUGCGAAGGCAGCCUGCUAAGCUGCAACUGACAUUGAGGCUCGAAAGUGUGGGUAUCAAACAGGAUUAGAUACCCUGGUAGUCCACACGGUAAACGAUGAAUACUCGCUGUUUGCGAUAUACUGCAAGCGGCCAAGCGAAAGCGUUAAGUAUUCCACCUGGGGAGUACGCCGGCAACGGUGAAACUCAAAGGAAUUGACGGGGGCCCGCACAAGCGGAGGAACAUGUGGUUUAAUUCGAUGAUACGCGAGGAACCUUACCCGGGCUUAAAUUGCAGAUGAAUUACGGUGAAAGCCGUAAGCCGCAAGGCAUCUGUGAAGGUGCUGCAUGGUUGUCGUCAGCUCGUGCCGUGAGGUGUCGGCUUAAGUGCCAUAACGAGCGCAACCCUUGUUGUCAGUUACUAACAGGUUCUGCUGAGGACUCUGACAAGACUGCCAUCGUAAGAUGUGAGGAAGGUGGGGAUGACGUCAAAUCAGCACGGCCCUUACGUCCGGGGCUACACACGUGUUACAAUGGGGGGUACAGAGGGCCGCUACCACGCGAGUGGAUGCCAAUCCCAAAAACCUCUCUCAGUUCGGACUGGAGUCUGCAACCCGACUCCACGAAGCUGGAUUCGCUAGUAAUCGCGCAUCAGCCACGGCGCGGUGAAUACGUUCCCGGGCCUUGUACACACCGCCCGUCAAGCCAUGGGAGCCGGGGGUACCUGAAGUGCGUAACCGCGAGGAGCGCCCUAGGGUAAAACUGGUGACUGGGGCUAA
rnacentral:rRNA from 1 species